rnacentral:lncRNA from 1 species
UUUGCAUCCUUCAAUCCAAUCAAGUUGAUACUCAGUAUUAACCAUCACAACCAGCAACCUUUCUAUAUGGAUUAUCCUUAUUUUCCCAUAUAAAUGUUAUAUCAUCUGCAAACUAUUUAGUCAGAACACCAUUUCUUUUUCUUUUCUAAAAUCAUUGAAAAAAGCCACCUUUCCUUAGGAUUUGUGUAUUUUCAAAGUUAUUUUCCUUCAUUAUGCUGAAAAAUUAUAUUGUAGUAUUUUUGUAUCCAGUGUUGCUGUUGACAAUUCUGAAUUGAAUCUGAUUUGUGUUUCUAUGUAAAUGCCUAUUCCUUCUCUCUGAAAGCAUUUGAAAUUUUCCCUUCAUCUCAUGUUCUUUAAUCUCACCAAACUGUGAGUAAGUGUAGGUUCUGCCUCAUGUCUCCUGUUUUGCACUCUAUGCACCCCUUCAAUUUCACUUAUUUCAUUUUCUUUUCUGUUAUUUUUAUUUUGGGGAGUACAUAGUAGGUGUAUAUAGUUAUGGGGUACCUGAGAUAUUUUGAUACAGAUAUGCAACUUAUAAUAAUCACAUCAGGUUAAAUGUAAUAUCCAUCAACUUAAGCAAUUACCCUUUGUGUUGCAAACAAUCCAAUUAUACUGUUUUUUUAUUUUUAAAUAUAAAAUUAAAUUUUUUUUAGAUAGAGUCUUGCUCUGUCACCCAGGAUGGAGUGAAGUGGUGCAAUCUCAGCUCACUGCAGCCUCCGCCUCUGGUUAAAGUAAUUCUCCUGCCUCGGCCUCCCAAGUAGCUGGGAUUUCAAUUGUAUGGUUCUUGACAUUGUUAUUAAUAAUGAGGUCGCUGUAGGUGUGUGGAUUUGUUUCUGGGUUCUCUAUUCUGUUCCAUUGGUGUAUGUGUCUGUUUUUAUACCAGUACCUUGCCAUUUUGGUGACUAUAGCUCUAUAUUAUAAUUUGAAGUCAGGUAAUGUGAUUGCUCCAGUUUUGUUCUUUUUGUG